rnacentral:rRNA from 1 species
CACGUAGGAGGCGAGCGUUAUCCGGAUUCACUGGGCGUAAAGCGCGUGCAGGCGGUUCGGUAAGUUGGGCGUGAAAUCUCCCGGCUCAACUGGGAGAGGUCGUCCAAUACUACCGAACUUGAGAGCGAUAGAGGAAAAUGGAAUUCCAGGUGUAGUGGUGAAAUGCGUAGAUAUCUGGAGGAAUACCGGUGGCGAAGGCGGCAUCCUGGACCGACAUUGACGCUGAGGCGCGAAAGCUAGGGUAGCAAACGGG